CUCUUGGUGGUUCAGUGGUAGAAUUCUCACUUUCCGUGUGGGAGACAUGAGUUCGAUUCCUGACCAAUACA
rnacentral:tRNA from 1 species